rnacentral:lncRNA from 1 species
GAAAAUGUCAAGUAUUAAUAUUACGACCACUAAAUCGGGUGCGACCAAAAGCCCCGUUUAACGGCAGUAUCGGGUAAAAUUCCACUGAGCCCCGACUGUGAAACCUAUAUAUGGGUGAGUGGAGUCCAUUGGAGACUUUUUACACUCUCUUUCUAAACUCUCUCUCUAGACCCGUUUUCGCCCCGAAUUCUUAACCAAACGCUUCCAAAUUGUAAGUCCGCUUACCCUAGCUUAUUCUAAACGUAUUGAUUUAUGUUUAUAGCCCAAAAAUCAUCCAAGAAGGCAUGGUAUAAGGAGUUUACGGCCUAGGAACAUUCUAGGGCCGUAAACCCCUAAAAUGGAGCCAAUCAUGCCUUUGAACUUGACCAUAAGCUUAGAAAUAAUUAGGGGUUAUAGCCUAGGGGUGUUUAAACACUAAAAUGCAUGGAUUUAGGACUCAAAGAAGAGUUUACGGCCCAAGCACAUGCUUAAGCCGUAAACUCCACAAGUCAUGGUCCCAAAUGUGCUCCAAACUCAUCCUAGGGCUUAUUACAUAAUUUAGGGACUUAUUCCUUUGAGUUUAGGACACUUGAACACUCCAAAAUGAAUUAAAGAAAGGAGUUUAUGGCCCAGAAAUGGUCAAGGCCGUAAACUCCCUAAAUCAUGCCCAAAAUUGUAGUUUUUGCCCCCCAAAUGACCAUAGGCUAUCUCUAUAAAAUGCUAGGAAGGAUUUAAGGGCUUAAACACAAGGAAAAUGAGGGAUUUCUUGGAGUUUACGGCCCAAGCAUUUAUCUAGGCCGUAAACUCCCCAAAACCCCCUCAAAUGUUGGUUUUAAUCACCCAAAAUGGCAUCACACUUCAUUAGAAAUCACUAGAAAGGCAUUAGGGGCUUGAAACAUCACAAAACUCAAUCAUUUAGAGUUUACGGCCGUAAACUCCUUUAGGAGUUGUUCUUAGGCCGUAAACUCCAUGUUAAGGCCCUUAGGAACCUCAAAUCCACUCAUGCCUUUGAGGAAAAGUGCUUGGAAUAAUUCUAUGAACAAGCUAGAAGCAUCAAACACCCAAGAAUGUGACCUUGGGAGUUUACGGCCGUAAACUCCCUUAGGUUGGGCCGUAAACUCCUUGUUUGGUCCAUAUUGAUGCUUUAAACCCCUUUACACACUUGAUAUUUGAGUUUAGCAAAGUUCCACAACUGAUAAGAGACCCUUAGCACCCUUAAACACUACCCAUGACCCCAAACACUCAACCAAAAGUGUUUUCCACUCCUUUGAGUGUGUAUAAUUGUUUAAUUAGUAUAUUAUAUGCUAAUUGUAUGUGAACAUAUGUUAUCAUAUGUUAAAAUAGGUCCUUGUGUGUGUUCAAGUCCUUGCGUGACCCCGAACGCCCAAACGGCACUUCCGUCGGACCUACUUACACUAGGUGAGUUCAUACCCCUGAAUGAACCUUUUAAAUGCUUUUAAAUGUUUUUAUAGGGGGGAUUACAAGUUAAACAUGCCAGUUAUCAUAUCAAUCACAUGUGAUUGAUAACCCGCAUGCACAAGAUUUUGCCACUAUACACUGUUUUUACCGAGUAGGACGCUUUAACGCUUCUUCAAUUGUUUUAAAACUCUUACUUAUACCUUUUAAACUAAAUUCAUUCUAGACUGGUUUGUGAAAGAUUUUUCCAAGAUUUUCAAGCAUAUUUUACAAAAGAAUACAAAGUGUGAAAUUUUCUGUUCGUAAAGGCUUUUCAUUAAGAUUCCUUUUUACGUAUAUUUUUAUUUGAAGUUAUUGCUGAUUUGCUUAUACUUAUUCCAUAUUCCUACUCUGUAAUGCUUCCACUUAUACUGAUAGUCGCUUAUACCUUAUGACGCUUAUACUUAUUCACGCUCUUACUUAGUGAUACGAUUCUUCUUCGCUUAUACUUGAUAACAACUCUACUUCACUUAUACUUGAUACGCUUUCGCUUCACUUAUUGUCGCCUCUACUUCAUGAUACGCUUAUACUUGUGCGACACUUCUACUUCACUUGCGAACGCUUUUACUUCACUUAUUAGGCGCUACUACUUCACAAGGAUCACUUCUACUUGAAACGCACUUAGUCAUAGUUAGAUGUAUGUCCGUGCUUAUAUAGGUAUAUAUAAGUAAUGAUUGAAAGACUUAGGAAGGCUCGUCUGCCCUAUUUCCUUUUCUUCGUUGAGAUGUGGUCUGGUGGGAUCGGGUAGCCGUCCGAAGGUCGUUUGGUUCAUUAGUUAAAUACUAUGUAUAUGAGUAUGGACAUACAGGAAAUCCUCUAGUCAAGUCAGUUAAGAAUCUCUACCUCUAUUCUACACUUACUUUAGAAACACACUACCCACUGUUUGAAAGUCUUUACCUCUAGUAUAUCACUUACAUUAGAAACCCACUCCCCUCUAGAAAAACACUAUCCUCUAUUUGGGAUGCAUCUUCGGGACGCGGCCUUCUCCGUCGUCUAGUUGGUAACCAGAGUCUCCUGUAGGGAGAGCGGACAUUAUGUGUAUAGGCCUAUACGGGAUUGACACCCCCACACCCUGACUGCUAGCUACAGUCCACGGCUCACCAAGCCAAGGGGUGACAAAUGUCACAUUAUAUAGAUGCUUGUAGGGCGUCUGGAACUCUAGUCAGUAUGGUUACGAGUAUCCUGGGUUGCCUUAUAAUUCAUGGCUUUAAGGUAACGGUAUUUCGUCAGCAAUUUACACUGUAUGCUGAUGUCACUUUUCAGAGUCACACUGUUUCGACCUUGCUAGCUGUAUCUUUCAUUUGAUACUGUCUGGGGUCUAUAGUCUCUGUUUCGACCUUGCUAGCUGUAUCUUUCAUUUGAUACUGUCUGGGGUCUAUAGUCUCUGUUUCGACCUUGCUAGCUGUAUCUUUCAUUUGAUACUGUCUGGGGUCUAUAGUCUCUGUUUCGACCUUGCUAGCUGUAUCUUUCAUUUGAUACUGUCUGGGGUCUAUAGUCUCUGUUUCGACCUUGCUAGCUGUAUCUUUCAUUUGAUACUGUCUGGGGUCUAUAGUCUCUGUUUCGACCUUGCUAGCUGUAUCUUUCAUUUGAUACUGUCUGGGGUCUAUAGUCUCUGUUUCGACCUUGCUAGCUGUAUCUUUCAUUUGAUACUGUCUGGGGUCUGUAGUCUUUGUUUUGACCCUGCGAGAUGUACUUUUCAUUUAGUAUCGUCUUCGGUCUAUAUUCACUGUUUUAGACCUUACCAGCUGUACCUUUCAUUUGGUACCUUCUGGGGUCUAUGUCUCCCCUUUGUUAGACUGAACCAGGCGUGUCGUUAAUUCGAUACCCUCCUGGAGUCUAUGAUUCUUUGCCUUAGUCAGCAGUCCUCACUGCUGAGGCAUAUGUUAUUCCCUGAUGUCUCCUGCUUUCUUUAAUAAUCAAAUUCAGUAUUUUGAUAACAAUAGCAAUUAAGGGAAAACUACCUCUUACCACAAUGCACUGAAACAGUCUUGGUAGAAGGCUGCUUUAUUUAAAGAAAAUAUAGGAUUUUCUGGAAAGAACACUGAAGCACUGAAAACACUUAAACUACUACUUAUUAAAGUUAUUUGACUAAAUGACACUAAAUACUUAUGAACUCACCAGCAUUUGUAAAAAUGCUGAUACUCGCUUUUCAAAUAACUUGUAAUCUCAGGUCAGCAAUUAGACAGGUACAUCCCCGGAGCUGCUGAUGAAGAUGGCUUAAGUACCUUGCUGCACUUUAUAUAUGUUGCUUGUAUUACUUUGAUACUAUGUAAUGUAACCAUGUAAAAUUAUUACUAUUAAUGCAAUGUUUUGUUGUACUUUGAUUACUAUAUGCAUGUGUUGUGAUACUUGACAUGACGUCAUCCACCCCAGAACGUUUCCGCCGUUCCGGUUUUGGGGUGUGACAGAUUGGUAUCAGAGCAUUGUUUAUAGUGAGCUAAGUAUAUCAAUUCAUAAAAGAUAUACAGCCUAUAAAUACAAUGGGAUAAAACACUCUGACCAAGAAUUAUACUUUAAAAUAUAACCAUAUUUUACCAAAGUAUAAUAACAUCCAGAAUCUAAACACUCGAACAAAAGUAUCACAAGAAGAACAAUAAUAAAAGUCUUCGGAUGUUGAGCACUACAGUCAAACCUGGGCAGUUAUGUAAUCGUAAGCUGGGAUAAAUGUAACCUGAUCAACUACAUUUAUCCGAGAUGCGAUGAACGUGUGCUCGGGAGUGAUAGUGGUGUGCAGCAGAUCUGAAACUUACCAAAUAGGAAUUCUAGAGCCAAACAUAAAGUUAAAAUACUAUAGGAGUAUUUUAGAACGCUAAAAGAUCCACACUAAUCCCAGAAUCAUAAUCAGAAGAUAAGACUCAAACAAGAGUUAAAAUACCAUAUGAGUAUUUUAGAAUACAUAAGCAACCUUGCGUGAAUAACUAAAAAGAUCCUUAUUGAUAUACCUACAACUACAGAGGGUGUACUUCCAAGGUUAUAUAUAAUAAGGACCCCAUAGGCUGAGAAUGUGUGGUUUCUCUCUAUUUCCUUUUCCUCGUUGAGAUGUGGUUCUGGAGUAGUAUCACAUAUUCGAAGGACUAUCGGAUCUAAGCUAUAUAUGAUUUGUAUACCCUGUGUAAUCGUAGCAGGACUCGAUAUGGAUCAUACAGUGAAAUGUUAAUAAUCCCUUAGGAUUCUUUAGACAUUUCCAUUCUCGCGCGAACCCUGUAGAAAACCCUACCCACUUCAGUGCUUGACAAAAGAGUUGAUUCCGACCCUGAGGAGAUUCAUUGAGAAGAUUUCCUGUUCGGAAAUGAAUAAACUGGGUCGAGACUAUUGAAUGCACCCAGUGCCCAUAUUCUCUUAGGGACAGUGGUGAGAGAUUCGCCUAAACUUCGGAGAUUCCCAGUCAUCCAACAUGAAGUGAUGACACCCACAGUGGGAAUCAGAAGGAAGGCGGGAUAGAAAUUCGAUAUGUCCAUACGAGAAGAGAACCCUAGGAAACUACCCGAAGGAAGCCAACGUCGAUUCCAGUCAAAGAUACGAGGCAGACCGAGGGAGCUAGUGCAUGGGAAACCGGGAAUUGUCUUUUCCUCGUAUUCGUCACGAUAAUUCACCCUUAAAAUGAUGCAGUUUAGUGAGUUAGUGGUUACACUACUCACGCUAUGUGUUAGGUAAAUCGUCGUUUCCCGUUGCCAGAUACACGAUUAGGGCGGAUCCCCGCAUCUCUAUUGAGAAAAUUUUAGCUAUCUGCCCUUGUGAACCUCUCUUUCCAUGGUUUCGUUCCGAACCGUUCUCAAAUCUCUCCAGGCCGGAGAGUGAAACCUUUCCUCGGUAUACAGGUAACUUAGUAGGAACGACUCGCAUCUUAUGGCCUUUUUCCGAUACUCAUACUCCUACUUCGAUUACCAGGACUACAUCAUAGGGAUGUAGGUCGACACUCAGACAACCAGUACCCGAGGCACGGGAGAAAUUUAUGCCUAAUACGUUCAGGACAGAAAUGUCCAGGGUUAACCAUCGUCUCUCAUUACCUUGUAUUCCUUUCCGUGUAGGAAAAACCAUGCCACCGAAGAAGCGUAACCAAUCCGCAAGCAAGAAACCUGCCCUCUUAUUCGAUGAAGCUACGUUCCAAGCUGCAGUCUCAGCAGCCGUAGCAGCUGUCAUGGCUCACCUGAAUGCUAACAAUGCCAAUGUUAGCAAGGGCCCUGUCGGGAUUUCCAAUCCUGGCAAUGGACGGCAACAACCCACUCUUCCACACUCAGCCACCCAAGAACCUCCACCGAACCCACUAAAGAGAAAACUCAAGGUGGAGGAGGGAAGUACCUCGGCUCCAGGACCUUCUGAAGGGCAACGAGUUGAGGUAGUCUAUACCCCUGUGAAUCCUUCCUUCCCGACCUCAAGAAGACCAUACCUAGGAGACGUUCCCCACUGCAGCAAGUGCAGCUACCAUCAUUAUGGUACCUGCCGGGAACUCUAUUGUGCUAGGUGCCACAUGCUGGGGCAUACUGCUCGUGUCUGCAGAACCCCGGUUGAGUUCAUUACACCAACCACCAAUGUGGCGACCCGUAUAGUUUGCCACCUAUGUGGUAAAAUGGGACACUUUAAGAGGGACUGCCCAACCGAAGAGAAAGACAAAUACAUAGAAGGAGCCUGACACUACUGCUUAGGGAGAAGCAGCAAGGAAACUCGUUAGAUUUUGGUACGUCUCUUGAUCUCGGAUAACUAAGCUAAGAACAAUAAAAGACUAAUUCAAAUAUAAAUUCUUUCCAGUAAGGCGAAAGUCGCAGCACUGUUAUAAAAUUUAGAAUUCAUUAGGUAAAACUAUGAUGGCUAAACAUAUACGUUACGACCAUAUAUAUUUGAGAUGGACAGACCUAGAGUGAGCGAAUGCCGCCUCAUUUCCUGUUCCUCGUUUGGUUGUGGAUUUAGGGCGGAGUCGCUCAGUCAACAGUCCUCCCCACCUUAAAUAUACAUGACUAGUAUAUAGGAGGCGAUUAUAGAAACGCCUCGUGAGAAUCCAUUCAUGAAAAGAUAUUCUAUUCGGAAGCACUUAGAACUCUCUAUAGUUCCGCGUCGACUCUAUCGGUCCAAGUAUCCGCGGUAGCGAUGUAUAGGACGAAACUCGAGACGCCCAGAACUUGUGUGCCUGUUCGGCACAUGACUCUAUCGAUCUUCAUUAUACAUCAUGUCGGAGUGUGUCAACUUUGACGACUCUAUUGAGCAUGGUUUGACUUCGUGCAACCGUGUGUACGCCCUUAGUGCUGUGCAAAGAGAACUUUCUCCAAAGCCCUGUCGGCAAAUAAAGGUUCUCCCGAACCCGAACCUAAACACAAAUAAUCACAUCUAAUGCAAUCCGUCAAUCGUCCCUCUUAUCUCAAACCUUCCGAAGUACCCAAGUGAGAGUACCCCGCGCGAUGGACCGACCCCUCAUAGUCAGAUGAGCACCGAAGCGAAGGACACUGCAGAUACUUUAAAAGACGAAGACCAACCGGAGCACACUCUUAAGAAUUCCCUGGGAAAUCCGUCGCACCUCGCACAUCAGGUUCGUGAACCCAGAGAAUAGAACUCAUGAGGCUGACCACUAUAACCAGGUAUAUUGCUGGCAUCCAUCAAGUAUUGAUGGUUAAGCCAAGCAUGAGCUCUAACACGAACCUCUUCGCAAAAAACUUUCACCCUAAUCGAUAACAUAGGGGCCGAAAUCAAGAGAACUACUACGGAUCGAGCUAGUAAAGUCCCGAGUGACGAAGACCCUAUACCCACUAGAUUUGACUUAGGCCGAGAAAACUUAGAACCUUCGGAAGAGUAGUUGCAAUUGAUGCUCUGGCUACUCAGGCACCUUGCCCACCCAGUUAUAGACAUGUAGUGCUUAUCAUCCUCCACCCUCUCGCUAGGAGGAAAUCGUCGUCGCCCUGUAGACAAUGAAUUAUAUUUUCCGAGGUAAACACUAGGAUACCGAGAACCACAGGGUAACCUUCGCAGCCAAGAAUACUUGGUCAAGUGCGAAGGUAAUUGCGUUAAAUCUCAUGACCCGGAUCCCGAAAAGAUUAUGGACUCGACACCAGCUUUGGUGUUAGUCGAGGGAUUAUGCAGGAGCACGCACUUUCCACGCUAGAAUAAACCACAGUCGUAGAGAUUCCUUGGACUAAUAGGUGUUCCCCGAAUACUAUCUCAAAGCAGAGCUAGUAGAACCACCUCCCGAGAUAGUCCAACACUUGUCUGGUGAGGCCCUGUCUCCCCGAUUCUCAGGGUUUCCGUAUCUUAAGCGUCGUUAGUGCAGGUCCAUUUUGCACAAGCUUGGGAUAGACACUCUAUAGCAAACCGAUGGCCAUAGUCGCGCAACCCACUUGACGAUCUAGGAAGUCUCUAUCAGCCAGUUGACAGAAAACACAAAACUGAAGACCACUUGAGAUUCCUAAGAACCAACCCGAAGGACUACACUACCCGUACGAGAGAGAACGUUAGGAACUUCGGAAUGGCGAUCACGCCAGUGAUGAUCUUGCCAUAGAAGUACACUAUGUUCUAAGUACUGAAAAGCUCUACCCUUCCGAGAGCUUAGGACCAUAUGAGAAUCCCCAUGGAGACUUGGUCCAACCCUUUUCAGGCUGCCCCUACCUUCGGAUAUGCCACAAGAUUCACACCCGAUCGAUCCUCUUCUUAGGCUUGAUACGUGACUUCCCGACAAAACUCUUCAUGCCUAAAUUAUCUUGAUAGAAUCCAUUGAGAACCCUGACUUCAUAGAUACACCAGUCGGAACCCGCUAGCAACACUAGGUGGAAUUCGCAUCCCGUAUGUGAAGGUCUGUGAGAAGGCAAACACAGACUAGAGAUCACUUGGGAAUGUGAGGGCAACCGUAUAGGAAGUACUCCCUUACCUCUACUCGGCAAUUCAUACCUACUUCCUUGCCUAGACUUGAAUUUCGGGACGAAAUUCCCUCUAACGGGGGGAUGAUGUGACAACCCAAGUUGUCCCGUUACAUUUCCCCGUUACCGUUAACGGAAUAUUCCACUGUAUAAAAGUUCCGUUAAUUAGAGGGCGUCAAUUUAAUAAUAAACAUUCCAUUGGGUUACAUUUAGCAUGCCGUUAAGUCGUGAUGAAAGGAAAUAAAACACAGGACACACAUUUCCACUCAUUUGGAAAAUGUCAAGUAUUAAUAUUACGACCACUAAAUCGGGUGCGACCAAAAGCCCCGUUUAACGGCAGUAUCGGGUAAAAUUCCACUGAGCCUCGACUGUGAAACCUAUAUAUGGGUGAGUGGAGUCCAUUGGAGACUAUUUACUCUCUCUAUCUAAACUCUCUCUCUAGACCCGUUUUCGCCCCGAAUUCGUAACCAAACGCUUCCAAAUUGUAAGUCCGCUUACCCUAACUUAUUCUAAGCGUAUUGAUUUAUGUUUAUAGCCCAAAAAUCAUCCAAGAAGGCAUAAGAUAAGGAGUUUACGGCCCAGGAACAUUCUAGGGCCGUAAACCCCUAAAAAGGUGUUAAAAAUGCCUUUAAACUUGACCAUGAGCUUAGAAACUAUUAGGGGAUAUAGCCUAGGGGUGUUUAAACACUAAAAUGCAUGGAUUUAGGACUCAAAGAAGAGUUUACGGCCCAAGCACAUGCUUAGGCCGUAAACUCCACAAGUUAGGGUCCCAAAUGUGCACCAAACUCAUCCUAGGGCUUAUUACAUAUUUUAGGGACUUAUUCCUUUGAGUUUAGGACACUAGAACACUCCAAAAUGAAUUAAAGAAAGGAGUUUACGGCCCAUGAAUAGUCAAGGCCGUAAACUCCCUAAAAUCAUGCCCAAAAGUGUGAUUUUGCCCCCCUAAUGGCCUUAGACAUUUACCAUAAAAUGCUAGAAUGGAAUUAAAGGCUUAAACACAAGAAAAAUGAGACAUUUCUUGGAGUUUACGGCCCAAGCAUUUUCUAGGCCGUAAACUCCCCUAAAACCCCCUCAAAUGUUGGUUUUAAUCCUCCAAAAUAGCAUCACACUUCAUUAGAAAUCACUAGAAAGGCAUUAGGGGCUUGAAACAUCACCAAACUCAAUGAUUUAGAGUUUACGGCCGUAAACUCCUUUAGGAGUUGUUCUUAGGCCGUAAACUCCAUUAUAAGGCCCUUAGGAACCUCAAAUCCAAUCAUGCCUUUGAUGAAAAGUGCUUAGAAUAAAUCAAGGAACAAGCUAGAAGCAUCAAAACCCCAAGAAUAUGACCUUGGGAGUUUACGGCCGUAAACUCCCUUAGGUUGGGCCGUAAACUCCUUGUUUGGUCCAUAUUGAUGCUUUAAACCCCUUUACACCCUUGAUACUUGAGCAUAGCAAAGUCCCACAGCUGAUAGGAGACCCUUAGCACCCUUAAACGCUACCCGGGACCCCAAACACUCAACCAAAAGUGUUUUCCACUCCUUUGAGUGUGUAUAAUUGUUUUAUUAGUAUAUUAUAUGCUAAUUGUAUGUGAACAUAUGUUAUCAUAUGUUAAAAUAGGUCCUUGUGUGUGUUCAAGUCCUUGCGUGACCCCGAACGCCUAAACGGCACUACCGUCGGACCUACUUAUACCAGGUGAGUUCAUACCCCUGAAUGAACCUUUUUAAUGCUUUUAAAUGUUUUCAAUGGGGGGGAUUACAAGUUAAACAUGCCAGUUAUCAUAUCAAUCACAUGUGAUUGAUAACCCGCAUGCACAAGAUUUUACCACUGUACACUGUUUUACCGAGUAGGACACUAUAAAUGGCUUUCAAAAAGGGUUUUUAAAUUGUUCAAGUUCUUACUUUCAUAGCUUAUCAAAGAUUCAUUUUCAACUGAUUUAUAAAAGAUUCUCAAAGAUUUCUAAAGGUUUUCACACUUAUUUUAUCAAAGAAUACAAAUGCGAUUUUCCGGAGUAAUAAAGUCUUCAAGGGUUUUCAUGAAUACUUUUAAUUGUUAGAUACCGCUGCUUCGCUUAUACCUAUUUUAUACUCCUACUCUGUAAUGCUUUCGCUUAUACCUGAAGUCACUUAUACCUGAUAACGCUUAUACUUAUUUACCCUCUUACUUAGUGAUACGAUUCUACUUCGCUUAUACUUGAGAUCGACUUUACUUCACUUAUACUUGAUACGUUCUUACUUCACCUAUUGUCAUCUCCACUUCACGAUGCGCUUAUACUUAUUCGACACUUAUACUUCACUUGCGACCGCUCUUACUUCACUUGUUAGACACUCCUACUUCACGAGAAUCACUUUCACUUGAUACCCACUUAGUCAUAGUUAGAUGUAUGUCCGUACUUAUAUAGGUAUAUAUAAGUAAUGACUGAAAGACUUAGGAAGGCUCAUCGGCCCUAUUUCCUUUUCUUCGUUGAGAUGUGGUCUGGUGGGAUCGGGUAGCCGUCCGAAGGUCGUUUGGUCCAUUAGUUAAAUACUAUGUAUAUGGGUAUGGACAUAUAGGGAAUUCUCUAGUCAAGUCAAUUAAGAGUCUCUUCAUCUAUUCUACACUUACUUUAGAAACACACUACCCACUGUUUGGAAGUCUCUACCUCUAGUAUAUCAUUUGUAUUAGAAACCCACUCCCCUCAAGAAACACACUAUUCUCUAUUUGGGAUGCAUCUUCGGGACGCGGCCUUCUCCGUCGUCUAGUUGGUAACCAGAGUCUCCUGUAGGGAGAGCGGACAUUGUGUGUAUAGGCCUAUACGGGAUUGACAACCCCGCACCCUGACUGCUAGCUACAGUCCACGGCCCACCAAGCCAAGGGGUGACAAAUGUCAUAUUAUAUAGAUGCUUGUAGGGCGUCUGGAACUCUAGUCAGUAUGGUUACGAGUAUCCUGGGUUGCCUUAUAAUUCAUGGCUUUAAGGUAACGGUAUUUUCGUCAGCAAUUUACACUGUAUGCUGAUGUCACUUUUCAGAGUCACUCUGUUUCGACCUUGCUAGCUGUAUCUUUCAUUUGAUAUUGUCUGGGGUCUAUAGUCUCUGUUUCGACCUUGCUAGCUGUAUCUUUCAUUUGAUACUGUCUGGGGUCUAUAGUCUCUGUUUCGACCUUGCUAGAUGUAUCUUUCAUUUGAUACUGUCUGGGGUCUAUAGUCUCUGUUUCGACCUUGCUAGCUGUAUCUUUCAUUUGAUACUGUCUGGGGUCUAUAGUCUCUGUUUCGACCUUGCUAGCUGUAUCUUUCAUUUGAU